rnacentral:rRNA from 1 species
GACGAACGCUGGCGGCGUGCUUAACACAUGCAAGUCGAGCGGUAAGGCCCUUUCGGGGGUACGACGAGCGGCGAACGGGUGAGUAACACGUGGGAACGUACCUUUUGGUUCGGAACAACACAGGGAAACUUGUGCUAAUACCGAAUAAGCCCUUACGGGGAAAGGAUUUAUCGCCGAAAGAUCGGCCCGCGUCUGAUUAGCUUGUUGGUGAGGUAACGGCUCACCAAGGCGACGAUCAGUAGCUGGUCUGAGAGGAUGAUCAGCCACACUGGGACGUGAGACACGGCCCAGACUCCUACGGGAGGGCAGCAGUGGGGAAGUCUUGCGCAAUGGGCGAAAGCCUGACGCAGCGACGCCGCGUGAGGGAUGACGGCC